rnacentral:lncRNA from 1 species
CCCCCGCGGGCGCGCUGUCGGCUUGUUUGGAAAGCCCAGAGGCGCUUCGAGGUAAAAAGAUGUUUCUCUUCUUUCCCGUCUUCCUCUCAAGACCCUCUGGGCUGACCCGGCGCGGGGGCUCACGCCUGUAAUCCCAGCACUUUGGAAAGCGGAGGCGGGCGGAUCACUUGAGCCCGGGAGUUGGAGACCAUCCUGGGCGAAAUGGCAAAACCCUGUCUCUACAAAAAUACAAAAAUCAGCCGGGAGUGGUGGUGUGCGCCUGUGGUCCCAGCUACUCUGGAGACUGAGGUGGAGAAUCGCUUGAACCUGAGAGGCAGAGGUUGCAGUGAACGGAGAUUAUGCCACUGUACUCCAGCCUGAGCAACAGAGCGAGACCCUGUCUCAAACAAACAAACAAAAACCAAAACACAAAACCAAAAAACAAAACACAAACCAAAAAACUGCACUCCAGCCUGAGCGACAGAGCCAGACCCUGUCUCAAAAAAAAAAAAAAAAAAAGAAAAGAAAAAGAAAAAUCUCUGGGAAUUGCAUUCAUUCCACAGACUUCUUCCAUGCUUUUCUGGAUUCUCCCAAUAACCAAGGGACUGACAACUGUCAAGCCUGAAUGCCUGGGACCCAAUCCUGCUUAGGCCACACCCAGUAAGUCCUUCUCUUUAUCCAGCUGAGAUCUUAAAGCUCAGUUCAUUCCAGCCCAACCAGCCAAUGGC